GUUGUUCAUGCGAUAUAAAAUAUUUACUAUAAUGUAUAAUCUUGUAAAUUAGAGACGAUAUACAUUAUAGUAAAUAUUUUAUAUCGCAUGAACAAC
rnacentral:miRNA from 1 species